CGUCCUGUCUGAAAAAGUUGCCUAAGCCGGGGAGAGGGGAUGUCCCAGUGGGAAGGGCUGCCUCCAUUAGGGGUGCUGCCUCAGUUAGUGUAAAUGCCCCAGCGCCGCGGUGCUCCUCCAGGGGGCAUGUCCGGAGUGUGGGGGAGGGUGCUCUGAUACGGGAAGGUGUCCCUCUAGGAGGGUGUGCCCUGCCUGGGGGCAGUGUCCCGCGUGAGAAGUGUCCCAGUGGCGAGGCUAGUCCCCAUGGGGGCAUGCUUUGGUAGGGGAAGAUGCCUGGCUCUGGGGGUGCGCUCCAGUGAGGAAGUGUGCGCCACCUGGGCGGCCUCCCAAUCACCGCAGCCUACCUGCAAGCCCCCCAGUUAGGCACACGCAAGACCGUUCCUGCAAAUCAAGCAGCCUUCAUUGGACAGCACCACAUAAACUGGCUUGGGCGACCCACACCCCCACAGCCAAACCUGUCUCUCCCAUCCUGUAGGAGUGGAGGAAAGAAACAGAUUGAAAGCAGGGUUCUCUGGCCAGUCUUCACAGCAGAAACUGAGGAGGCCCUGAGUCAAAGGCUAAUCUGGGCCUCGCUCCUGUGAGGGCUCCAUCUCAUGGGAGGUGAGACUCCAGGAAAAUUCAACUAAGUCAAACAUUGACAGCACACACAGGUGCAGAAGAGGUGAUGGACGAUGACUGUGACAUUUGAGAGUACAUGGCUGCCUGCACAUUUCCAGCUGAGAAAAGUGGCCAGUGCGACACUGUGCAAAAGUGGUGGCAGAUUACCUCCACCCUAUGCCACCAGAACUUGGAGCUACAAGCCCGGUAAGAUGCGUGAUGGUGAAAACUGGAACAGACAUCCUGGACCCAGGAGUGGAAACCUCGACUUGAGAAUGACAGAUGUGCUACCAAGCCCAAAACUUCCACGUCUAGACUGUUAAAGGCACAAGAAAAAAGCUUCUACCAUGUUAUGGGGGGUUGGCAGGGGAGGUGCUCUACCUGUCCCCGCAGGGUCCCACGAGCUUACUACAAUAGACUAAGGUAAUUGACACCCCUAGCCAAGGUCACCCCUUCGCCACAUGGCAGACCUCAAAAGCCUCAAUACCACCGGCAGUUUCCCAAAGCACAUCCCAGGAUCCUGGCACACAGGGUGUUUACCGGCCCUCUGUAGCGUCUGCAAGAUACCCCUUUAGGAAACGGUGCUUUCUCAAACCUUGAUUUUUCGUUUGCCCCUGGGUUUUUAGAGUCCCAGACGGCAGUCCUUUGAAAUGUAGACCACGGGAGCGGGCUCGUGUUGUUCACCCUUGGCUGGGAGAGAAGCAGCAUCCCCGAGCUGGACAUGGCAGUGAUGUCGGCAGGGGCAUGAGACGUCAAGGCAAGGAUAAGGGACCUGGGGAAGCCCGCCCCCUCACCCCCGACAGGACUUCCUCUGGCGCACGAGGCCUAAACUUUAUUGCUUGGAGCGGUGGGUGCCGGGUCGCAACCCCUCCGGUGUGCGCUAAUAAAGUAAACGGAACAGGGCUGUCUGCUCCGCUUUCACAAGGCCACUUGGAGUUAACGCUGAGGCUCCAGUCAAGCACAUCUCGAC